rnacentral:rRNA from 1 species
CCUACGGGUGGCAGCAGUGGGGGAUAUUGCACAAUGGGGGGAACCCUGAUGCAGCGACGCCGCGUGGGUGAAGAAGCGCCUCGGCGCGUAAAGCCCUGUCAGCAGGGAAGAAAAUGACGGUACCUGAAGAAGAAGCCCCGGCUCACUACGUGCCAGCAGCCGCGGUAAUCCGUAGGGGGCAAGCGUUAUCCGGAUUUACUGGGUGUAAAGGGGGCGCAGACGGCGAUGCAAGCCAGGAGUGAAAGCCCGGGGGCCAACCCCGGGACUGCUCUUGGAACUGCGUGGCUGGAGUGCAGGAGGGGCAGGCGGAAUUCCUGGUGUAGCGGUGAAAUGCGUAGAUAUCAGGAGGAACACCGGUGGCGAAGGCAGCCUGCUGGACUGCAACUGACGUUGAGGCCCGAAAGCGUGGGGAGCAAACAGGAUUAGAUACCCGGGUAGUC